rnacentral:rRNA from 1 species
GAUGAACGCUGGCGGCGUGCUUAACACAUGCAAGUCGAACGAUGAAGCCCAGCUUGCUGGGUGGAUUAGUGGCGAACGGGUGAGUAACACGUGAGUAACCUGCCCUUGACUCUGGGAUAAGCCUGGGAAACUGGGUCUAAUACUGGAUAUGACUUCUCAUCGCAUGGUGGGGGGUGGAAAGAUUUAUUGGUCUUGGAUGGACUCGAGGCCUAUCAGCUUGUUGGUGAGGUAAUGGCUCACCAAGGCGACGACGGGUAGCCGGCCUGAGAGGGUGACCGGCCACACUGGGACUGAGACACGGCCCAGACUCCUACGGGAGGCAGCAGUGGGGAAUAUUGCACAAUGGGCGCAAGCCUGAUGCAGCGACGCCGCGUGAGGGAUGACGGCCUUCGGGUUGUAAACCUCUUUCAGUAGGGAAGAAGCGAGAGUGACGGUACCUGCAGAAGAAGCGCCGGCUAACUACGUG